rnacentral:rRNA from 1 species
GAUGAACGCUGGCGGCGUGCCUAAUACAUGCAAGUCGAGCGAACGGACGAGAAGCUUGCUUCUCUGAUGUUAGCGGCGGACGGGUGAGUAACACGUGGAUAACCUACCUAUAAGACUGGGAUAACUUCGGGAAACCGGAGCUAAUACCGGAUAAUAUUUUGAACCGCAUGGUUCAAAAGUGAAAGACGGUCUUGCGGUCACUUAUCGAUGGAUCCGCGCUGCAUUAGCUAGUUGGUAAGGUAACGGCUUACCAAGGCAACGAUGCAUAGCCGACCUGAGAGGGUGAUCGGCCACACUGGAACUGAGACACGGUCCAGACUCCUACGGGAGGCAGCAGUAGGGAAUCUUCCGCAAUGGGCGAAAGCCUGACGGAGCAACGCCGCGUGAGUGAUGAAGGUCUUCGGAUCGUAAAACUCUGUUAUUAGGGAAGAACAUAUGUGUAAGUAACUGUGCACAUCUUGACGGUACCUAAUCAGAAAGCCACGGCUAACUACGUG